rnacentral:rRNA from 1 species
CGUGUAGGCGGCCAAGUAAGUCUUACGUGAAAUCCUGAGGCUCAACCUCAGGCCUGCGCGGGAUACUGCUUGGCUAGAGUCCGGAGGAGGAGAGUGGAAUUCCUGGUGUAGCGGUGGAAUGCGCAGAUAUCAGGAGGAACAUCCGUGGCGAAGGCGGCUCUCUGGGACGGUACUGACGCUGAGAGCGAAAGCGUGGGGAGUGAACA